rnacentral:rRNA from 1 species
GUCUGUUUGUAGUUAUAAAGAGUCUAACCUGCCCACUGAUUAGUUAAUUGAAGGGCCGCAGUAUUAUAACUGUGCAAAGGUAGCAUAAUCAUUAGGUUUUUAAUUGGAAUCUUGAAUGAAUGGUUGGACAAGGGGAGUACUGUCUUUAUAUUAAACUUUGAAUUUAACUUUUAAGUGAAAAGGCUUAAAUAUUCUAAGGGGACGAUAAGACCCUAUAAAACUUUACAUUAGAAUUAAAUUUUAGUUAAAUUUAAUUAUAAAGAUUUAAUUUAAUUAUUUGUUAUAUUGGGGAGAUAUAGGUAUAUAUUUUAUUAACUGCUUAUUGGUUAAACAUUUACUAGUGGAGAAUAAUUGAUCCUUGUUAAAGAUUAUUGAAUUAAGUUACUUUAGGGAUAACAGCGUUAUUUUUUUUGAGAGUCCAUAUCGAAAAAAAAGGUUGCGACCUCGAUGUUGAAUUAAAAUAUCUAUAUAAUGGAGAGGUUAUAUAGGAAGGUCUGUUCGACCUUUAAAAUUUUACAUGAUUUGAGUUCAAACCGGCGUGAG